rnacentral:lncRNA from 1 species
GUUAAUAUAUUUUCUUAUGAUUUUUUUUCUUCUUAGCUCUUUGAGAUGCUGAAUAUUAUUUUUUAAUUAUUGAUUUCUUUUAAUAAUUCUUUUUCAAUAAAUAAUAUAAUCAAUCAAUUUAAUCAUUACUCUAGAUGUCCCAAUUUUCUAAUAAUUCUCUCCUUUUAUAUGAAAAAAAUAAUCCUUGUUAUAAAUAGUACUUACCCAAUACUUUCUUAAAAAACACUAUAAUAAAAAAUGAGGCCCCUCAAAUUUGGAGCCCUAAGGUAGUUGCCUUUAUUCUAAACCUAUCGAACUGGCCCUAGUUGUGGGGGUUGGGCGAGGGCUGGAGCAAGGGUGGUCGAUAAGGGUGGGGAUGGUACAUCGUACUAUUAGGGUGUGGGGAGAAAAUGAUUAUGAUGAAAUUUCAUUUAUGAAGCUUAUUUUUGUAUUCUCGUUAUGAAAGUCAUUUUUUAUAAUUUUCAAAACCUAACUUAGAGAAAGUAUUUUUCAAAACAUUUUGAUCAACCUGGCAUAAGAAAAUUAUAAAUAUUUUUUGUACCAAACAUACACUUAGUGAAUAUAACUCUAAAAGAUUUAGCGUGUGCUUGGUACGGAGGAAAAUAUUUUUCAUUUUCUCAUGUUCUCAUGUUUGGAUUGAUCAAAAUGUUUGAAAUUUUUUUUCUCGGAAAUUAAGUUCUUUAAACGAUCAGUAAAUCAUUUCCUCAAGAUGUUGAAAAAAGAAGUUCUAUAAGUGGCAUUCCACAUUGAUUGUCUCCUCUCAUCCUCCAAGAUUCAACACAUCUCAUUUUCACCCUAUCCUCAUAGACUCCAUCCCCACCUCUCAUUGUAUUUGUGUCUAGAUUAUGUAUAAAUAAUAUUAGGAUAAUCUUUUAGCAUACCUAACUCACAUAAUAUAAAAGUUACAAGUACGAAAUCUACUUAUUUUCUAAGAAACAUUUUCCUUUGGCUACCCAACGC